rnacentral:snRNA from 1 species
GGAUGUGAGGGUGAUCUGGCUGCGAAGUGUGUCACCCCAUUGAUCUCUAGGUUGAUUCAACUGACCUGGCUGCCUAGGUAGGUGGCCCCUUCCUUGCUCAACACUCUGUGUGCAUUCCUCCUGAGGCUGUGAACUCAGUCGAAGAGGGCGAGCACCGCAGAUAGAGCAGACCGUUCCUUGGUCAAGGGCAUAUGAACAGCAUGUUCCCUGCUGGAAGCUCAAUCCAGCUCUCAAGGACCCAGGUCAAACUGAAUGAAAGGUCACAUUAGUGGCCUCCUGUUAACU